GAAACACAGGACAGAAACGUUGGACAGGAAGUUCGAUAUUCUGUAUCUGCCUAUGUUAUGUACAUAUGCGUAUGCUUAUGCGAAAUGUACAUAUAUAUUUACUUUGUCGUGUACUAUUUGGUCGUGUCUACUUUAUCCUUAGUCGUAAUUAUUAAUGUUAUAAUAUAGUAUUAUAACGCAAAUUAGGUUUUAUACGUGGAUAAACGAGGAAAUGAAUAAUUUAAAUUAUAUGGUCACGUAUGUAAGUAUAUACCUCUAUUGUAUUUAUAUCUCGGUCGUUAAGUAAAGGUGUUUCUCCCGAUACAGUGGUAAUCAUAUUAUAGGCAUUCCAUAUAUUUUCAAGGUCUUUCUCAGG